GUUACAAAAUCCAAUAUGGCGGAUGAAAUGCAGUUUUGGAAACAAGGUUAUUCCAUCGCAAGUUUGGAGUCUUUUGGCGAGCUAGCGAACUGCAAGCAGUGGUAAUCAGUGUGGUUUUCUUGCAUUUGUACUGUUUUACGUGUUAGUAACCGUAACUAUACCCGUUUGUAUUGAUCAAGUUAAAAUUUUUGAUAGUUUUGCCGAUGAUAAGGUUUGUGUUGUUGGCUUGUUUGGAAAUGGUCGAUCCGGUGUUCAAGGGAAAGCUUUUUACGCAAAUUCUGCUGUGGAGAGGAAUGUAUUCCAGGUUAGUCCAGUUUAGGCAUUUAUAUGACAGUCUGAUUUGAGAGUACUCAAAUUUUGAAAGUGAAGUACUGCGCAUCAGUGACACUGGG